AAUGGCUUCUUCACCAUUGAACCUUUCUUUUCUUGUGUAGUAGCUUCGAUUCAGAUUUCUUAAGAAAGCUAAAAAGAUAGAUCGACGAUCAAGAUAAGUCGCGUUGAAAGCUUUUUGUACAAAACUCUCGAAAAAACCCUAGAUUGAAAGAUGGUACUGAUCGAAUCAAGUGAGAGUGAGGAUGAGAUCCUCAUCAAAACCGAACCAAAGCCAUCGUCUUCGUCUUCACCGCAGCAACCCACGACGGAGACGAAACAAGUCGACGGAGAUGAUUCCGACGGGUUCGAGACUGCCAGCGAACGUGAGAUCAGCGAUGAAGAAGGAGAUGAAGAUGGUACUAAAAACGACGCCGUCACUAUUCAGGAGGAGAAGGAAGAACAGGUUGAGCUAAUGAGUGAAGGAGUAGCCAUAACCGACGACGGAUCAAACAAGGAGAAAGCUAUGGCAGAAGCAAAUGAAGCUAAAGCGGAAGGAAACAAAUGCUUCGUUAAUGGCUUUUAUGAAGAGGCAUUGUCAAAGUAUGCUUUUGCUUUAGAGCUUGUGAAGGAGUUUCCUGAGUCUAUAGAGCUUCGAUCCAUAUGCCAUUUAAACAGAGGUGUAUGUUUCCUCAAAUUGGGUAAAUAUGAAGAAACGAUCAAGGAAUGUACGAAAGCGUUAGAGCUAAAUCCUACCUACACUAAGGCCUUGGUUCGAAGGGCAGAAGCACAUGAGAAGCUUGAGCAUUUCGAAGAUGCUGUCACGGACCUGAAGAAGAUCUUAGAACUUGAUCCUUCAAGUGAUCAUGCUAGGAAAGGGAUACGACGUCUUGAACCUCUUGCUGCUGAGAAGCGAGAAAAGAUGAAAGAAGAGGCUAUAACUAAGCUGAAGGAGAUGGGAAACUCGAUCUUGGGUCGCUUUGGGAUGAGUGUGGACAACUUCAAGGCUGUUAAAGAUCCCAACACUGGCUCCUACUCUCUUUCUUUCCAAAACUAGUCAUUAAUAUCGACGACGACGAUAUUAUAUCGUAGUGGUCUUUGAUGUUUUGCUUCUACCACUUAAUGUUUAGCAACAAUCUGAACAUACAACAAGCUAUUUUGGAUUCAAUGGAAUCCCAUGAAGAAAAAAAACAUCAACGGUCUUGUAUAAGAGUUGCAGAUUCUGUGUUAUGGCAUGCUGCUCCAAGUACUCUUUGUAAAUUCAAAAUUCAAUGUUACAACAAUGGAUAAAUUUCCCUUUUC